AGACCGACGGGGUCGACGCCCCGGGUCACCAGCAGAUAGUCGCGCAGCGCCUGCCCGUGCCUGCCCUC
rnacentral:sRNA from 1 species